AGAACGAACGCUGGCGGCAGGCUUAACACAUGCAAGUCGAGCGCCCCGCAAGGGGAGCGGCAGACGGGUGAGUAACGCGUGGGAACGUACCCCCCGGUUCGGAAUAACUCAGGGAAACUUGAGCUAAUACCGGAUACGGCUGGAAGGCGAAAGAUUCAUCGCCGGGGGAUCGGCCCGCGUCCGAUUAGCUAGUUGGUGUGGUAACGGCGCACCAAGGCGACGAUCGGUAGCUGGUCUGAGAGGAUGAUCAGCCACAUUGGGACUGAGACACGGCCCAAACUCCUACGGGAGGCAGCAGUGGGGAAUAUUGGACAAUGGGCGCAAGCCUGAUCCAGCCAUGCCGCGUGAGUGAUGAAGGCCUUAGGGUUGUAAGGCUCUUUCACCCACGACGAUAAUGACGGUAGUGGGAGAAGAGCCCCGGCUAACUUCGUGCCAGCAGCCGC
rnacentral:rRNA from 1 species